AUACAGAGGGUGCAAGCGUUAAUCGGAUUUACUGGGCGUAAAGCGCGCGUAGGUGGCUAAUUAAGUCAAAUGUGAAAUCCCCGAGCUUAACUUGGGAAUUGCAUUCGAUACUGGUUAGCUAGAGUAUGGGAGAGGAUGGUAGAGUUCCAGGUGUAGCGGUGAAAUGCGUAGAGAUCUGGAGGAAUGCCGAUGGCGAAGGCAGCCAUCUGGCCUAAUACUGACACUGAGGUGCGAAAGCAUGGGGAGCAAACAGGAUUAGAUACCCUGGUAGUCCAUGCCGUAAACGAUGUCUACUAGCCGUUGGGGCCCUUGGGGCUUCAGUGGCGCAGCUAACGCGAUAAGUAGACCGCCUGGGGAGUACGGUCGCAAGACUAAAACUCAAAUGAAUUGACGGGG
rnacentral:rRNA from 1 species